UACAAAGGAAUGAAAGUGAAGUACCCCCACUACCACAAAUUAUGCAGUCAGGUUUCCUGCAGACGUCAACACAUCCAGCGUGCAAUGGAUGAGCCUCACCCUGGGAAAGCCACCUUCAUGAUCAUGGUAUUUCCCCCAGUAGAUGAACUCACUUAGAUUGAGUCAAGAACCCACUGAAGACAAUCAUCAGAGCUGAGAAAAUUAACUAAGAAAAAGAUGCACGUGGCUGUAAUUAGAAGAAAAACAGUUUGCCUGCUCUCAUUUGGCUGAGCAUUUUAAAAAACCUUUUCAAUAAUACAAGAGAGAAGAGACUGAAUUGUGAUAGCUGGAACCAUGGAUGAGAGAACAGCACACACCCAUCAGAAAAUGUGCCUGGAGCACCUCCUGGGUGGCAGCCUGUUGCAGCAGCACUCAUGAGUCUGGGCACAUACAUUCUGGGAUAGGUGUCCAGGUAUAUUCUGCUAUCAAUAUUGCUAGAAAGUUACCAAAACACCCUGAGCCUCAAUUUCUUUAUUGGUUAUGUAUGAUCUCAGGAGAUGUGUACAGGUUCAAGUCGACAAGGCAUGGACCUGUGAUGGUCAAUACUGAGUGUCAACUCCAUUGGAUUGAAGGA